rnacentral:pre_miRNA from 1 species
UUAACUCAAAUUUGUAUGGAGUUGGAACGUUUGCCUACGUUUGCCGCUAGGGGCGCUAUUCCAGCUGCAUGCUUUGAGUUA